GGACUACAGGGGUAUCUAAUCCCAUUCGCUCCCCUGGCUUUCGUUCCUCAGUGUCAGUUGCAGCCCAGCGAGUCGCUUACGCCACUGGUGUUCUUCCCAAUAUCUACGCAUUUCACCGCUACACUGGGAAUUCCACUCGCCUCUACUGCACUCCAGUCUGCCAGUAUCCAAUGCAGGUCCGAGGUUGAGCCUCGGUAUUUGACAUCAGACUUAACAAACCACCUACGAACUCUUUACGCCCAAUAAAUCCGGACAACGCUUGCAUCCUACGUCUUACCGCGGCUGCUGGCAC
rnacentral:rRNA from 1 species